rnacentral:rRNA from 1 species
GUUCAAGACUAUACUGCCCUGAACACAUUCCGUUUCUUCUGAUCUAGGAAGUAAGCAGGGUCAAGCCUGGUUUGUAUUUGGAUGGAAGAAAAAUAUUUACCUAACAAUGUGAAAACCAAUAUCAAAUU